rnacentral:lncRNA from 1 species
GAUUAAAGAUGAUGGAGGAGCUGGAAGGACCUGGGGCUCUAGGGUCUCAAACCCCCAGUGCCACCGGAAAAGUGUGAUUGAAAGGGAAGAUCCACCUCCAACCUCUUGGAAACUGAUGCAGCUCAGCUGGAGACCACCAGACCUUCAUGGGAGUUGGGCAUUGAGGGUGAAAGAGAGCUCCAGAUUUAACACUUCCCCAGCCCUCCUCACACCCAGAGCCUCUCAGUUCCCUCCUCUGUAAAGUGGAGAUUCCAACUUGCCCCCUCUAGGGUUGGUUAGAGGAUUCUGAGGUCCCUGAAUGUCAUCCCCCUCUGCUGGCAAUCUGUGACUUGUCCUUCAAGUCUUCCCGAGUUGACACC